rnacentral:tRNA from 1 species
GGGGGCGGAUGGGUCACUGGUGUGCCUCCCGGACUUCAAAUCCGAUGGCGGGCCCUAAACAGGUCCGUGGUGGGUUCGAUUCCCACACGCUCCCCCCA